UUCCAGCUCCAAUAAGGAAAACUAAAGUUGCUGUGUUUAAAAAGCUCGUAGUUGAAUUUCGGGUAUUUGUUGCUAGCUGGUCUUAAUGGCCAUGUUGGUUAACAGAUCCUCAUUUGCUGGACGGCUGGCGAUGAUCUUUAUCGAUUGUCGUUAGUUGCCAGAACGUUUACUUUGAGAAAAUUAGAGUGCUAAAAGCAGGCUCACGCCUAUAUAUAUUGCAUGGAAUAAUGAAAUAAGAUCUCGAUUUUAUUUCGUUGGUUUUAGAAAUUGAGAUAAUGAUUAAUAGGAUCAGAGGGGGGCGUACGUACUGUGGUGUGAGAGGUGAAAUUCUUGGAUCGCCACAGGACGAACAGCAGCGAAGGCGUUCGCCAAGAAUGUUUUCAUUAAUCAAGAACGAAAGUUUGAGGUUCGAAGACGAUUAGAUACCGUCCUAGUUCAAACCAUAAACGUUGCCAACUGUCUUUUAGAUGCGGUUAUUUAUAUGACUCAUCUGGCGGAUCUCGAGAAAUCUAAGUUUUUAGGUUCCGGGGGAAGUAUGGUUGCAAAGCUGAAACUUAAAAGAAUUGACGGAAGGACACACAAGAAGUGGAGCCUGUGGCCUAAUUUGACUCAACACGGGAAACCUUACUCGGCCAGGACACUUUUAGGAUUGACAGAUUGAGAGCUCUUUCUUGAUUAGGUGGGUGGUGGUGCAUGGUCGUUCGUAGUUCGUGGAGCGAUUUGUCUGAUUAAUUUCGAUAACGAACGAGACUCCGGCUUACUAAAUAGUCUAAAGUUCGAAGGGACUUUUCAAGACUUCUUAGCAGGAUAAGUGGCACUUUUUAAGCCACACGAAAUGGAGCAAUAA
rnacentral:rRNA from 1 species